AGACUGUGAUGUGGACAUAUCCUCAUCAUGUAUUUGUAUCUCUCCCAUACGUCAUAAAGAGAUUCUAUAUCUUUUUAUCGAAAUCCGUUGAUUUGAGCUCUCAGCAU